AGCAGCCGCGGUAAUUCCAGCUCCAAUAGCGUAUAUUAAAGUUGUUGCAGUUAAAAAACUCGUAGUUGAAUUUCGGGAUUGACACAUCGGUCGUGCCUUAAGGGGUAUGAACUGGUGUAGUCAAUUUCUCACCUUCUGGAGAACCGCGAUGCCCUUAAUUGGGUGCCGCGGGGAACCAGGACCUUUACUUUGAAAAAAUUAGAGUGUUUAAAGCAGGCAUUUUGCUUGAAUACAUUAGCAUGGAAUAAUAAAAUAGGACGGCAUGAUUCUAUUUUGUUGGUUUCUAGGAUCACCGUAAUGAUUAAUAGGGAUAGUUGGGGGCAUUAGUAUUCAAUUGUCAGAGGUGAAAUUCUUGGAUUUAUUGAAGACUAACUACUGCGAAAGCAUUUGCCAAGGAUGUUUUCAUUAAUCAAGAACGAAAGUUAGGGGAUCGAAGACGAUCAGAUACCGUCGUAGUCUUAACCAUAAACUAUGCCGACUAGGAAUCAGACGAUGUUAAUUUUUUAAUGACUCGUUUGGC
rnacentral:misc_RNA from 1 species